GACGAACGCUGGCGGCGUGCUUAACACAUGCAAGUCGAACGGAAAGGCCCUGCUUUUGUGGGGUGCUCGAGUGGCGAACGGGUGAGUAACACGUGAGUAACCUGCCCUUGACUUUGGGAUAACUUCAGGAAACUGGGGCUAAUACCGGAUAGGUGCUCCUGCUGCAUGGUGGGGGUUGGAAAGUUUCGGCGGUUGGGGAUGGACUCGCGGCUUAUCAGCUUGUUGGUGGGGUAGUGGCUUACCAAGGCUUUGACGGGUAGCCGGCCUGAGAGGGUGACCGGCGACAUUGGGACUGAGAUACGGCCCAGACUCCUACGGGAGGCAGCAGUGGGGAAUAUUGCACAAUGGGCGGAAGCCUGAUGCGGCAACGCCGCGUGCGGGAUGACGGCCUUCGGGUUGUAAACCGCUUUCGCCUGUGACGAAGCGUGAGUGACGGUAAUGGGUAAAGAAGCACCGGCUAACUACGUG
rnacentral:rRNA from 1 species